rnacentral:rRNA from 1 species
CAGUAGCCGCGGGAAUACGUAGGUGGCAAGCGUUGUCCGGAAUUAUUGGGUGUAAAGGGCUCGCAGGCGGUUUCUUAAGUCUGAUGUGAAAGCCCCCGGCUCAACCGGGGAGGGUCAUUGGAAACUGGGAAACUUGAGUGCAGAAGAGGAGAGUGGAGUUCCACGUAUAGCGGUGAAAUGCGUAGAGAUGUGGAGGAACACCAGUGGCGAAGGCGACUCUCUGGUCUGUAACUGACGCUGAGGAGCGAAAGCGUGGGGAGCGAACAGGAUUAGAUACCCCCGUAGUCCCUGUCUCUUAUAA